rnacentral:rRNA from 1 species
AUUGAACGCUGGCGGCAGGCCUAACACAUGCAAGUCGAACGAGCGGCGGACGGGUGAGUAAUGUCUGGGAAACUGCCUGAUGGAGGGGGAUAACUACUGGAAACGGUAGCUAAUACCGCAUACCAUCAGAUGUGCCCAGAUGGGAUUAGCUAGUUGGUGGGGUACCGGCUCACCAAGGCGACGAUCCCUAGCUGGUCUGAGAGGAUGACCAGCCAAACUGGAACUGGAACACGGUCCGGACUCCUACGGGAGGAAGCAGUGGGAAACAUUGCACAAUGGGCGCAAGCCUGAUGCGGCCAUGCCGCGUGUAUGAGGCAGGCCUUCGGGUUGUAAAGUACUUUCAGCGGGGAGGCGUUACCCGCAGAAGAAGCACCGGCUAACUCCGUGCCAGCAGCCGCGGUAAUUC